AGGAGCAUAGCUCAGUUGGUUUAGAGCGCUUCAGUCACAUUGAAGAGGUCUUGGGUUCGAGUCCCAAUGUUCCUACCA
rnacentral:tRNA from 1 species